AAUCAGUUGGAACAUACUUUUAUGUCAUGGGUAUUUUAUGAUUUCAGUCACGCAACUCCAACAAUAAGCUAAGACUUCAGAAGCCAAAGGAACUGGACCGUUGUUUUUGCAAAGCUUAUUUUUCACCGCAGUUUUUCUGAAGCAGCUGAGCUUAAGCUGUUUAUGCACAAGCCCCAGCUAAAAAGAACUGGCCCUAAAACGAAGUCCCUACUCUUACAGAUAUGGAUUCUCCUUCAUCCAAGCUCUAUAGUGAACUGGUUCAGUUCGCACAAAAGACCUGCAGCUCAUUGUAUGCAGUUCGUGCUGAUAAAUUGGACAACACUUGACUUUUUAGAGGUGAUUUUUCUAAUAAUGUUGGCCUAUUGUGACUUAUGAUUUUAUUGAUCUCUUUCCUGCUGAUAAAUUUGUGAAGAAAGCAAAAUGCCCUUCAUAAGAGCAGAUUAUAUAUCAAGUCAAAUCACAAGUGCUUCUCUUGACUACUGGUUUGCGGAGAAGAAGGCACUGGAAGUGCCAAGUCAAGACUACUGGUUUUAGUUAUUCCAUAUUUUGUUUAGUGCAGUGAUGUUUGAAAGUGCCAAGUCAAACCUGUUAUAUUUUCUAUGUUUGGUACUGAUGUAGUACUCAUUUUGCUGCCAUUAUCAGUGCUUGUUGAACAAGUGAUAUGUGCUAUAUUUUUUCCACUAUUCAAUCA